rnacentral:rRNA from 1 species
GACGAACGCUGGCGGCGUGCUUAACACAUGCAAGUCGAACGGAAAGGCCCUGCUUUUGUGGGGUGCUCGAGUGGCGAACGGGUGAGUAACACGUGAGUAACCUGCCCUUGACUUUGGGAUAACUUCAGGAAACUGGGGCUAAUACCGGAUAGGAGCUCCUGCUGCAUGGUGGGGGUUGGAAAGUUUCGGCGGUUGGGGAUGGACUCGCGGCUUAUCAGCUUGUUGGUGGGGUAGUGGCUUACCAAGGCUUUGACGGGUAGCCGGCCUGAGAGGGUGACCGGCCACAUUGGGACUGAGAUACGGCCCAGACUCCUACGGGAGGCAGCAGUGGGGAAUAUUGCACGAUGGGCGGAAGCCUGAUGCAGCAACGCCGCGUGCGGGAUGACGGCCUUCGGGUCGUAAACCGCUUUCGCCUGUGACGAAGCGUGAGUGACGGUAAUGGGUAAAGAAGCACCGGCUAACUACGUG